rnacentral:rRNA from 1 species
AACGAACGCUGGCGGCAUGCCUAACACAUGCAAGUCGAACGAAGGCUUCGGCCUUAGUGGCGCACGGGUGCGUAACGCGUGGGAAUCUGCCCCUCGGUUCGGAAUAACAGUUAGAAAUGACUGCUAAUACCGGAUGAUGACUUCGGUCCAAAGAUUUAUCGCCGAGGGAUGAGCCCGCGUAGGAUUAGGUAGUUGGUGGGGUAAAGGCCUACCAAGCCGACGAUCCUUAGCUGGUCUGAGAGGAUGAUCAGCCACACCGGGACUGAGACACGGCCCAGACUCCUACGGGAGGCAGCAGUGGGGAAUAUUGGACAAUGGGCGCAAGCCUGAUCCAGCCAUGCCGCGUGAGUGAUGAAGGCCUUAGGGUUGUAAACCUCUUUUUUCAGGGAGGAACAAAAUGACGUGUACCUGAAGAAUAAGCAUCGGCUAACUCCGUGCCAGCCGCCGCCGUAA